UCAUUUGGAAUACACUGUCCGCCACCA
rnacentral:piRNA from 1 species